GACGGAGGAUGCAAGCGUUAUCCGGAAUGAUUGGGCGUAAAGCGUCCGCAGGUGGCAGUUCAAGUCUGCUGUCAAAGACCGGGGCUUAACUUCGGAAAGGCAGUGGAAACUGAACAGCUAGAGUAUGGUAGGGGCAGAGGGAAUUCCUGGUGUAGCGGUGAAAUGCGCAGAUAUCAGGAAGAACACCCGUGGCUAAGGCGGUUCUCUAGUACGGUACUGACGCUGAGACGCGAAAGCGUGGGGAGCGAACAGG
rnacentral:rRNA from 1 species